GACGGAGGAGGCAAGCGUUAUCCGGCAUUAUUGGGCGUAAAGGGUACGUAGGCGGCUGGUCAAGUCUGGGGUCAAAGGCCACAGCUCAACUGUGGGAAGGCCCUGGAAACUGACCGGCUAGAGUGAGGUAGGGGGUGCGGGAAUUCCCGGUGUAGCGGUGAAAUGCGUAGAGAUCGGGAAGAACACCUGAGGAGGAAGCGAGCAACUGGGCCUCAACUGACGCUGAGGUACGAAAGCUAGGGGAGCGAACAGG
rnacentral:rRNA from 1 species